rnacentral:tRNA from 1 species
GGCGCGUAGCUCAGGUGGUUAGAGCGCACGCCUGAUAAGCGUGAGGUCGGUGGUUCGAGCCCAGUACGGGUCA